CCCUUGGUCGUUUUUUUUCCAGUACCUGAACACACCACAAGACACACCCCUGUAGUCUAACCAAUCAUGAAGUUCAGGCACAUUUUAUAAGCUGAGGUGAGUUUCCCCAAUCAGUAGUGAGGGGGAAGCCACCGGAGCAGCUGCACUUGUGUCUACUGCCGUGGGGUUAGAAACCAUCCGGUUCCACGGUGUGUUGAAUAUCUGCGGGAAUUGGCCAGGUGAGCCCAGCUGUGGGUCAAUUGAUGGCGAGCUACUACCUGGAACAGAACCUGCCCCUAUACAUCCUCAUCCUGUGGGUCUGGUAGGAGGCUGCUGCAGCUUUGCUCAACCCCUCCAUUUUCCUUUACACAUCUGUCCAAUUACUAAGACUUGGAUAAUGGACUGAUUGCAUCUCUCAAAUAAUUCUCUCUAUUUAGAUGCAAUAUUUUGAGUACUCCUGAUUAUGUUUUAUUUUGUCAAAUUCUGUGAACUACGGAGUCUAUGGAACUGAAUUAUCUGACGUGCACUGUGAAAACUAACUUGUCUGCAGAUUGUAAAUAUUUUGGAGUUUGUUUGUUUGUUGUUUGUUUUUUUUGUUUCACAUAAUAUAUGGUACCAACACCAAAUAUAAGCAUCUGCCUUUGUGUCAUUAUUUACUCUUUCAACACCUCCUUAAACCGAACCAUUUAUCUUCUGA